GAUGAACGCUGGCGGCGUGCCUCAAACAUGCAAGUCGAGCGGGGCUAUGUAAUAUCGCAAGGUAGAACAUAGCCUAGCGGCGAACGGGUGAGUAACACGUGGGUAACCUGCCUGGAAGACGGGGAUAACGAUUCGAAAGGGUCGCUAAUACCUGAUAAUAUCCUUUCAUCGCAUGGUGAUAGGAAGAAAGGGGAAACCCGCUUUCAGAUGGGCCCGCGUCCCAUCAGCUAGUUGGUAAGGUAAAGGCUUACCAAGGCGACGACGGGUAGCCGGUCUGAGAGGAUGUACGGCCACACUGGGACUGAGAUACGGCCCAGACUCCUACGGGAGGCAGCAGUUGGGAAUCUUAGGCAAUGGACGAAAGUCUGACCUAGCGACGCCGCGUGAGGGAAGAAGGCCUUCGGGUUGUAAACCUCUGUCAUGGGGGAAGAAGGAAGUGACGGUACCCCAAGAGGAAGCCCCUGCUAACUACGUG
rnacentral:rRNA from 1 species